rnacentral:rRNA from 1 species
AGGGUGAACGGCCACACUGGGACUGAGACACGGCCCAGACUCCUACGGGAGGCAGCAGUGGGGAAUAUUGCGCAAUGGGGGAAACCCUGACGCAGCGACGCCGCGUGAGCGAUGAAGGCCUUAGGGUUGUAAAGCUCUGUUUUAGGGGACGAAUGUCUAGAUCAGUAAUAUGGGUUUAGAAUGACGGUACCCUAAGAGGAAGCCCCGGCUAACUACGUGCCAGCAGCCGCGGUAAGACGUAGGGGGCGAGCGUUGUCCGGAAUUACUGGGCGUAAAGAGCACGUAGGCGGGA